UUGAUCGAAGGAUUAUAGAUCGAAUUAUGGGUUAUGUGUUGUAUGUAUAAUUCUCAGAGAAACGAUGAGGUGCACUCCGCGAAUUCGCGCAUAAAACUGAUGUCUCAAGUUCGACAAAGACGCAGAAAUCUUAUCUAGCCGAUAACAAAGAGACACAAUGUCAACAGAUAAACAAUAAUUACCUAAUGGUUCCACUAAACAUGAUUACAUCCUGAGGAAUUACUGAAAGUCUCGAACGAAGGAUUUUCAAAGGAAUUUGUCGGACGUCUAUUCCAUCGAUCAAUACGCGACCUUGAGUGAUAUCUAGUAAUCGAAACAGUGCCAUCACUGUAGAGGAUUUCCCGCUUCCGGUUCUCCCGCAAAUUCCAAUCUAUGUGCAUAUAUAUAUACAUCAAAAUAGAAUAGUAUUCUCUUA